AGGAUCAUUGUCGAUGCCUCACAAUCAAUGUGCAAUGCGGAUAUGUUUUUCUAGGCGACGGUUGGUUUGCGGUGUUUAACACCUCAACAACCAAAACAUGUUGGGAGCUGCUCACCUAGUGUGGUCUCCUCCUAGCAAAACACAAACCCCGGCGCUGAAUGCGUCAAGGAACUUAAAUUUGUUUAGCACGCUCCCGUACACCCGAACACGGUGCUUGUGCGGGUUGUGUUGUGGCACGAAACUAUAAAAUGACUCUCGGCAACGGAUAUCUCGGCUCUCGCAUCGAUGAAGAACGUAGCGAAAUGCGAUACUUGGUGUGAAUUGCAGAAUCCCGUGAACCAUCGAGUCUUUGAACGCAAGUUGCGCCUGAAGCCUUUAGGCUGAGGGCACGCCUGCCUGGGUGUCACACAUCGUUUCCCUCUUUUCAAUGCCUUUUGUUAGGUAUAGAGGAGGGUAAAUGUUGGCUUCCCAUGAGCGUCUGUCUCGUGGUUAGUUAAAAAUUGAGUUUAAGAUGGAGGGUAUCACGAUAAAUGGUGGUUGAGUUAUGCCUCGAGACCAAUCGUGUACUUCUCUUAAUUUCUUUGUACUCUAUCACCCAUGCGUGUCUAACGGAUACCCAUAACGAGACCUCAGGUCAGGCGGGGCUACCCGCUGAAUUUAGCAUAUCAUAACCGGAGGAAAAGAA
rnacentral:rRNA from 1 species